UACAGGGGGUGCAAACGUUGCUCGGAAUCAUUGGGCGUAAAGCGCACGUAGGCGGUUCGUUAUGUCGGAUGUGAAAGCCCUUGGCUUAACCGAGGAAGUGCAUCCGAAACUGGCGAGCUAGAGUACGAAAGAGGAUCGCGGAAUUCCUGGUGUAGCGGUGGAAUGCGCAGAUAUCAGGAGGAACACCAAUGGCGAAGGCAGCUCUCUGGUACGUGACUGACGCUGAGACGCGAAAGCGUGGGGAGCAAACAGG
rnacentral:rRNA from 1 species